rnacentral:rRNA from 1 species
GCAUAUCAAUAAGCGGAGGAAGGCU